UAGGGAAUAUUGCGUAAUGUGCGAAAGCGCGACGCAGCAACGCCGCGUGUGCGAAGAAGGCCUUCGGGUUGUAAAGCACUUUUCGAGGAGAAGAGGAAGGACGGUAACCUCGGAAUAAGCCUCGGCUAACUACGUGCCAGCAGCCGCGGUAAUACGUAGGAGGCGAGCGUUAUCCGGAUUUAUUGGGCGUAAAGCGCUUGCAGGCGGUGUAUCAAGUUGGAUAUGAAAGCUCCUGGCUCAACUAGGAGAGGCUAUUCAAAACUGAUAGACUAGAGGAUGGUAGAGGAAGGUGGAAUUCCGGGAGUAGUGGUGAAAUGCGUAGAUAUCCGGAGGAACACCAGUGGCGAAAGCGGCUUUCUGGGCCAAACCUGACGCUAAGAAGCGUAAGCUAGGGUAGCAAACGGG
rnacentral:rRNA from 1 species